rnacentral:rRNA from 1 species
AUUGAACGCUGGCGGCAGGCCUAACACAUGCAAGUCGAACGGUAACAGGAAGCAGCUUGCUGCUUCGCUGACGAGUGGCGGACGGGUGAGUAAUGUCUGGGAAACUGCCUGAUGGAGGGGGAUAACUACUGGAAACGGUAGCUAAUACCGCAUAACGUCGCAAGACCAAAGAGGGGGACCUUAGGGCCUCUUGCCAUCGGAUGUGCCCAGAUGGGAUUAGCCAGUAGGUGGGGUAACGGCUCACCUAGGCGACGAUCCCUAGCUGGUCUGAGAGGAUGACCAGCCACACUGGAACUGAGACACGGUCCAGACUCCUACGGGAGGCAGCAGUGGGGAAUAUUGCACAAUGGGCGCAAGCCUGAUGCAGCCAUGCCGCGUGUAUGAAGAAGGCCUUCGGGUUGUAAAGUACUUUCAGCGGGGAGGAAGGGAGUAAAGUUAAUACCUUUGCUCAUUGACGUUAUCCGCAGAAGAAGCACCGGCUAACUCCGUG